UACGUAGGGUGCAAGCGUUAAUCGGAAUUACUGGGCGUAAAGCGUGCGCAGGCGGUGAUGUAAGACAGGUGUGAAAUCCCCGGGCUUAACCUGGGAACUGCAUUUAUGACUGCAUCGCUGGAGUGCGGCAGAGGGGGAUGGAAUUCCGCGUGUAGCAGUGAAAUGCGUAGAUAUGCGGAGGAACACCGAUGGCGAAGGCAAUCCCCUGGGCCUGCACUGACGCUCAUGCACGAAAGCGUGGGGAGCAAACAGG
rnacentral:rRNA from 1 species